GCCUACCUGGCGGAACAGGGAUACGCGUCGGCCUCAGAAGCCGGUGGCCGCAAGGCCGUGCGAGUUCAAAUCUCGCGGUAGGCA
rnacentral:tRNA from 1 species